CAAUAGCGUAUAUUAAAGUUGUUGCGGUUAAAAAGCUCGUAGUUGGAUUUCUGCUGAGGACGACCGGUCCGCCCUCCGGGUGAGCAUCUGGUUCGGCCUUGGCAUCUUCUUGGUGAACGUAUCUGCACUUGACUGUGUGGUGCGGUACCCAGGACUUUUACUUUGAGGAAAUUAGAGUGUUUCAAGCAGGCAUACGCCUUGAAUACAUUAGCAUGGAAUAAUAAGAUAGGACCUGGUUCUAUUUUGUUGGUUCUAGAGCUGAGGUAAUGAUUAAUAGGGAUAGUUGGGGGCAUUCGUAUUUAACUGUCAGAGGUGAAAUUCUUGGAUUUUGAUUGAAAGACUAGCAUACUGCGAAAGCAUUUGCCAAGGAUGUUUUUCAUUAGAUCA
rnacentral:rRNA from 1 species